rnacentral:lncRNA from 1 species
AGUGCAGCAGGGACGGGCUUUUGAGGGCUCUUGCUUUGGGGGGUGACAACCACAACUGUGGGGACAGUGACAGGAGGAGCUCAGGUUUGUUUUCUGUCAUUUUUGUGCGGUGCUGGAUACAGAAGGGAAAAAUGACAAUGUAUAAGACAAUACCUACAUUCAUUCUGUUGUUUACAGGAUGCCUUCAUACCAAUAUGAAUGUUGCUGCAGACACCCCACCACCAGGUAGUUCCUUACCUACUGCCGAAACCACACAAGCUCCUGAAUUGGAAACACCACCACAUGAGAACAAUGCCGUUCCAGAAGAACGGCUGUCAUCUCUGAUAGGUAGGUUGAAAACUUCGGUAUGUAUACUUCU